UGAACGCUGGCGGCAUGCCUAACACAUGCAAGUCGAACGCGAAAGUCACUUCGGUGGCGAGUAGAGUGGCGGACGGGUGAGUAAUGCAUGGGAAUCUACCCAACAGUGGGGGACAACCCGAGGAAACUCGGGCUAAUACCGCAUACGACCUACGGGUGAAAGGGGGCUUCGGCUCUCGCUGAUGGAUGAGCCCAUGUCCGAUUAGCUAGUUGGUGAGGUAAAGGCUCACCAAGGCGACGAUCGGUAGCUGGUCUGAGAGGAUGGCCAGCCACACUGGGACUGAGACACGGCCCAGACUCCUACGGGAGGCAGCAGUGGGGAAUAUUGGACAAUGGGCGAAAGCCUGAUCCAGCAAUGCCGCGUGUGUGAAGAAGGCCUGCGGGUUGUAAAGCACUUUCAGUGGGGAAGAAAAGCCUGUGGUUAAUACCCACGGGUUUUGACGUUACCUACAGAAGAAGCACCGGCUAACUCC
rnacentral:rRNA from 1 species